CAGUCCUGAAGUGAAUGCACGUCGAAUUGCAAAUUCGAAAACGCACCCCAAAAGGUGCCCGGACU
rnacentral:tRNA from 1 species